UUUGUCAGAGAGAAGAGGAACCGAGAAGAGGAGAGAGGAGCUCCAUUUCGUCCUGUUUUAGUUCACAAACAGUGUGUAACUCUUGUUCAAUACAACGCUUAUAAUCGUCUGGAUAAACUGUCCAAAAUGGAUCCAUUUACUGAGAAACUGUUGGAGCGGACCCGGGCACGCAGAGAGAACCUGCAGAAGAAGAUGGCCGACAGACCGAACGCAGCGAGCAGAGCGAUGGUGAAGAGACCGCUGGCCGACACCAACAGUGUGAUCAGCGAGACGCUCAGCGAGAAAGUUCCACAGCUUUCCUCCAAGCCUUCCCCCUCCAAGCGCCGCUGCUCGGAGGAAAAUGUA